UUCGUUCUUCCCUUCCGAAGUAGCAUCUCCGAUGGGAAUCUGACCUAAUUGCAGCUUGCUAUUGUUCAUCAAUUGAUCUCUCAUCCCUUGAGGAAUUCGAAUUUCUCACGAUAGAUCCAUCAGUGAUAAAUCCAAGCACUCGAUUUCCCCGGAGCUGGUCGUCGGGACUAUUGGUCCGGCGGUGAGCGAAUUGCGAGAGAUGUAGACCAUUUUUAUCCUGCUCCUGCAGUCAGAUGAGUCGUCGGAAUAAUUUGGGGCGAAGAGGGACUUGAAAUCUUCGAGAGCAGCUUUGUGGUCAUCUUCACAGGAACUGGAAGGCAAAGCCACUGCCGCUGCCGAGAUCGUUGUGAUCAUCAUCGUGGUGAAGACCAUGGCAGCUGAUAUCAGUAAUAAUUGUGCUUCCGAGGCCAUUGAUUGUUGUUUUUGGUUGGUUGGUUGGCUGGGCGGGAGCGUCUGAUGUAAACAACUAUAUGUUGAUGAAUUAAAUUUCCU
rnacentral:lncRNA from 1 species